GAUGCUGUAGGGCAUGAGACAGGCAUUUGGAAACCACCAUACAAGGCUUCGCUUCAGAGAUAAGACAAAAGCUUCCUUUGUUUCCACAUUUCCCUAUCAGUCCAACUUCCUUGUAGAAGCAGCAACAGGGACCUUCCCUCCUUUUAAUUUUUUUUUUUUUAUCUGUAGAGUGCCUUUUAAAGUUUUCUCUGAAAGAAAAAAAAAGAAACAGUCUAUAGUG
rnacentral:lncRNA from 1 species